UAGGGAAUCUUCCGCAAUGGACGAAAGUCUGACGGAGCAACGCCGCGUGAACGAUGAAGGCCUUCGGGUCGUAAAGUUCUGUUGUUAGGGAAGAACAAGUACCGUUCAAAUAGGGCGGUACCUUGACGGUACCUAACCAGAAAGCCACGGCUAACUACGUGCCAGCAGCCGCGGUAAUACGUAGGUGGCAAGCGUUGUCCGGAAUUAUUGGGCGUAAAGCGCGCGCAGGCGGUUUUUUAAGUCUGAUGUGAAAGCCCACGGCUCAACCGUGGAGGGUCAUUGGAAACUGGAGAACUUGAGUGCAGAAGAGGAGAGUGGAAUUCCACGUGUAGCGGUGAAAUGCGUAGAGAUGUGGAGGAACACCAGUGGCGAAGGCGACUCUCUGGUCUGUAACUGACGCUGAGGCGCGAAAGCGUGGGGAGCAAACAGG
rnacentral:rRNA from 1 species